rnacentral:rRNA from 1 species
AGUGAACGCUGGCGGUAGGCCUAACACAUGCAAGUCGAACGGCAGCACAGUAAGAGCUUGCUCUUACGGGUGGCGAGUGGCGGACGGGUGAGGAAUACAUCGGAAUCUACUUUUUCGUGGGGGAUAACGUAGGGAAACUUCCGCUAAUACCGCAUACGACCUACGGGUGAAAGCAGGGGUUCUUCGGACCUUGCGCGAUUGAUUGAGCCGAUGUCGGAUUAGCUAGUUGGCGGGGUAAAGGCCCACCAAGGCGACGAUCCGUAGCUGGUCUGAGAGGAUGAUCAGCCACACUGGAACUGAGACACGGUCCAGACUCCUACGGGAGGCAGCAGUGGGGAAUAUUGGACAAUGGGCGCAAGCCUGAUCCAGCCAUACCGCGUGGGUGAAGAAGGCCUUCGGGUUGUAAAGCCCUUUUGUUGGGAAAGAAAAGCAGCAGGUUAAUACCCCGCUGUUCUGACGGUACCCAAAGAAUAAGCACCGGCUAACUUCGUG